rfam:Ochotona princeps cont2.323449, whole genome shotgun sequence.
UUUAUUUUAUUCUUCAACAUUAAGGUAACUGCAAAUGUAUUGUUGAAAGAAAAUAAAGAUAGUUCUCGGGCUUUAGUCUGCAAUAACUUAAAGAAAAGGACCUAGA